rnacentral:rRNA from 1 species
CUGCAGCCCGAGUGGUGAUCGAUUUUAUUGAGCCUAAAGCGUCCGUAGCCGGACUAGUAAACCCUUGGGUAAAUUGGGCAGCUUAACUGUCCAAAUUCCGAGGGGACUGCUAGUCUUGGGACCGGGAGAGGUCAGAGGUACUCCAGGGGUAGGGGCUAAAUCCUGUAACCCUUUGGGGACCACCAGUGGCGAAGGCGUCUGACUAGAACGGAUCCGACGGUAAGGGACGAAACCCUGGGGCGCGAACCGGAUUAGAGACCCGAGUAGUCC